GGGCACUCCCCAGGCUCUAUGUGCAUGUUGGCUGGAGAGGGGCUUCCCAGGGAAGGCAGCACCAGCCCCCUGAGGGAGCGAGGCAGGGAUGGGCCUUCCUAGUCCUCAGGGGCCGCGGUGUCCCUGCAGAGAGGCUGUCAUGCAGCAUGUCCAAGGCCCCCGUCCCAGAAGCCCCGGGGAUGCUGAAGACUGGCAGGGGCUGGCCUUGCGCAGGGGUGAGGUCGACUUCGGAGGGUCUGGGAAGAAGCGAGGCAAGUUUGUGAGGGUGCCGAGUGGAGUGGCCCCGUCUGUACUCUUUGAUCUGCUGCUCUCUGAGUGGCACCUGCCAGCCCCCAACCUGGUGGUGUCCUUGGUGGGCGAGGAGCAGUCUUUUGCCAUGAAGUCCUGGCUGCGGGACGUGCUGCGCAAGGGGCUGGUGAAGGCGGCUCAGAGCACAGGAGCCUGGAUCCUGACCAGCGCCCUCCGCGUGGGCCUUGCCCGGCACGUCGGGCAGGCUGUGCGGGACCACUCACUGGCCAGCACGUCCACCAAGGUCCGCGUGGUUGCCGUCGGCAUGGCCUCGCUGGGCCACGUCCUGCACCGCCACAUCCUGGAGGAGGCCCAGGAGGAUAUUCCUGUCCACUACCCCGAGGACGAUGGCGGAAUCCAGGGCCCGCUCCGUUCACUGGACAGCAACCUCUCCCACUUCAUCCUGGUGGAGCCAGCACCCCCGGGGAAGGGCGAUGGGCUGAUGGAGCUGCGGCUGAGGCUGGAGAAGCACAUCUCGGAGCAGAGGACAGGCUACGGGGGCACAGGAAGCAUCGAAAUCCCUGUCCUCUGCUUGCUGGUUAAUGGCGACCCCAGCACCUUGGAGAGGAUCUCCAGGGCCGUGGAGCAGGCUGCCCCAUGGCUGAUCCUGGCAGGCUCAGGGGGCAUCGCUGACGUGAUCGCUACCCUGGUCAACCAGCCCCACCUCCUCGUACCCAAGUUGGCUGAGAAGCAGUUUAAGGAGAAGUUCCCCAGCAAGCAUUUCUCUUGGGAGGACAUUGUGCACUGGACCAAGCUGCUGCAGAAUAUCGCCUCACACCCGCACCUGUUCACCGUGUAUGACUUUGAGCAGGAGGGCUCUGAGGAGCUGGACACCGUCAUCCUGAAGGCGCUGGUGAAAGCCUGCAAGAGCCACAGCCAGGAGCCGCAAGACUACCUGGAUGAGCUCAAGCUGGCAGUGGCUUGGGACCGCGUGGAUAUCGCCAAGAGUGAGAUCUUCAAUGGGGACGUGGAGUGGAAGUCCCGUGACCUGGAGGAGGUGAUGGUGGACGCCCUGGUCAGCAACAAGCCGGAGUUCGUGCGUCUCUUUGUGGACAACGGCGCGGACGUGGCCGACUUCCUGACGUAUGGGCGGCUGCAGCAGCUCUACCGCUCCGUGUCCCCCAAGAGCCUGCUCUUUGACCUGCUGCAGCGGAAGCAGGAGGAGGCCCGGCUGACCCUGGCCAGCCUCGGCGCCCAGCAGGCCCGGGAGCCACCUGUGGGGCCACCCGCCUUCUCCCUGCAUGAGGUCUCCCGUGUACUCAAGGACUUCCUGCAAGACGCCUGCCGAGGCCUCUACCAGGAUGGCCGGCCAGGGGGCCGCAGGAAGGCGGAGAAGGGCCCGGCCAAGCGGCCCACAGGCCAGAAGUGGCUGCUGGACCUGAACCAGAAGAGUGAGAACCCCUGGCGGGACCUGUUCCUGUGGGCCGUGCUACAGAACCGCCACGAGAUGGCCACCUACUUCUGGGCCAUGGGCCAGGAGGGUGUGGCCGCCGCUCUGGCCGCCUGCAAAAUCCUCAAAGAGAUGUCGCACCUGGAGACGGAGGCCGAGGUGGCCCGAGCCAUGCGCGAGGCGAAAUAUGAGCAGCUGGCCCUCGACCUCUUCUCCGAGUGCUACCGAAACAGUGAGGACCGCGCCUUCGCCCUGCUGGUGCGCCGGAACCGCUGCUGGAGCAAGACCACCUGCCUGCACCUGGCCACCGAGGCAGAUGCCAAGGCCUUCUUUGCCCACGACGGUGUGCAGGCCUUCCUGACCAGGAUCUGGUGGGGAGACAUGGCUGCAGGCACGCCCAUCCUGCGGCUUCUGGGGGCCUUCCUCUGCCCUGCCCUCAUCUAUACCAACCUCAUCACCUUCAGUGAGGACACUCCCCUGAGGACUGGCCAGGAGGACCCGCAGGAGCUGGACAGCCUGGACACAGAGAAGAGCCUGCUGUAUGGCCUGCACAGCCGGGUGGAGGAGCUGGUGGAGGCGCCAAGGGCUCAGGGUGACCGAGGCCCACGUGCCACCUUCCUGCUCACACGCUGGCGGAAGUUCUGGGGCGCUCCCGUGACUGUGUUUCUGGGGAACGUGGUCAUGUACUUCGCCUUUCUCUUCCUGUUCACCUACGUCCUGCUGGUGGACUUCAGGCCGCCCCCCCAGGGCCCCUCAGGGCCCGAGGUCACCCUCUACUUCUGGGUCUUCACACUGGUGCUGGAGGAAAUCCGGCAGGGCUUCUUCACAGAUGAGGACACACACCUGGUGAAGAAGUUCACCCUGUACGUGGGGGACAACUGGAACAAGUGUGACAUGGUGGCCAUCUUCCUGUUCGUCGUGGGAGUCACCUGUAGGAUGCUGCCCUCAGCGUUUGAGGCUGGCCGCACGGUCCUCGCCAUGGACUUCAUGGUGUUCACGCUGCGGCUGAUCCACAUCUUUGCCAUACACAAGCAGCUGGGACCCAAGAUCAUUGUGGUGGAGCGAAUGAUGAAGGACGUCUUCUUCUUCCUCUUCUUUCUGAGUGUGUGGCUCGUGGCCUACGGCGUGACCACACAGGCGCUGCUGCACCCUCACGACGGCCGCCUGGAGUGGAUCUUCCGCCGGGUGCUCUACCGGCCCUACCUGCAGAUAUUCGGGCAGAUCCCACUGGACGAGAUAGAUGAAGCCCGUGUGAACUGUUCCACCCACCCCCUGAUGCUAGAAGACUCGCCCUCCUGCCCCAGCCUCUAUGCCAACUGGCUGGUCAUCCUCCUGCUGGUCACCUUCCUGCUGGUCACCAAUGUGCUGCUCAUGAACCUGCUCAUUGCCAUGUUCAGCUGCACAUUCCAGGUGGUACAGGGCAACGCGGACACGUUCUGGAAGUUCCAGCGCUACCACCUGAUUGUGGAGUACCACGAGCGCCCCGCCCUGGCUCCGCCCUUCAUCCUGCUCAGCCACCUGAGCCUGGCGCUGCGCAGGGUCUUCAAGAAGGAGGCCGAACACAAGCGGGAGCACCUAGAGAGAGACCUGCCAGACCCCGUGGACCAAAAGGUGGUCACCUGGGAGACGGUCCAGAAGGAGAACUUUCUGAGCAAAAUGGAGAAGCGGAGGAGGGACAGCGAGGGGGAGGUGCUUCGGAAAACUGCCCACAGAGUGGACUUCCUCGCCAAGUACCUCGGGGGCCUGAGAGAGCAAGAGAAACGCAUCAAGUGCCUAGAGUCACAGGCAAGAAAGCCCCGGAGCUCCUCUUCCCGAGGGAGGCGGGUGGCUGCGCGGGGCUGCCUGGGCCUGGCCAUUCACAGAGACGAGCAGCCCAGAGCCAGGGCAGGAGCUCCACUGUGGGCAGGGAGGGUCCUGGGGGAGAUGGUCCGGCCCCACCUGAGCCGGCUCCCACCCCGACACUUGAGAGGCCACAGCCUUAAACGAGGGGUCUCACUUUAAGACCCCUCACCUUUCACUCUCGGGAGCCUCACCAACCCCUGCCUUUGAGGGGCAGCUCCUGGAGGGAGGAGUCGUGGGGCAACGGAGGCCCUGGCAGAAGCAGGGGGAGGCGGGGAGGCUACCUGUGCCCUGCUGUCCUGAGAGCCCUGGAGCUUCCAGACAUGUCUCCCUCCUCCAGAUCAACUACUGCUCAGUGCUCCUGUCCUCCGUGGCAGACACGCUGGCCCAAGGCAGCGCCUCCUGGAGCUCUCGGCACUGUGGCGGGGGAAGCCGGCUGGCGGCUGCUGACCGGGAACACCCCAGGGCUGGCCAGCCUCCUUCGGACACUUGAGUUACUUGGCCUGCCACCUGUGGGGCCACCUCUUGUCAGCUGGCCACCCUGGGCCUUGUGUACUGACCUCUGCCCACCUCCAGUGGAACCCCCAGGGGGCAGCAGUCCCCCAGCAGACAAUGUCCCCGCCCCCACCCCAGUGCCUCCCCACAGACCCUCAUGCCCAGGAACCACUCCUUGGCCCUCCUGAUGCCUUCCUGGCCUCCCCAGAGGCACAGCAGUGUCAUGGGGCCGCCUCCCCUGACAGGCAGAAGUCCCCGGGCAGAAAACAUGUGCCCUGCCGUGUCCCUACCUGGAAACUGACCAGCCUGCAGCAGGGGAAAGCCUGCCCUGCAGCAUGAUGGGGGCGCAGCCCCUUCCAGACAGUCAGCUGCUCUCGGGCCUGCACCCACCCCUGCCCUCACUUGCGUUGCCUGCUAAGAGACUCAUCUUUUUUUGAAACUCCAGUGGUUACAACUUCUGCCACUUAAGACCCAAAAGGUCCUUUGGGACUCAGGAGACUGGCUCCUGGAGGACAGGGCUGGGCGUCCACGGCGUCUGUCAGGUGUCCCCGACACCCUGUGGCCGGUACAGGACACACGGGUGUUUAUGGCCCUGGGACUCAGCCCGUGCUGGCGUCAGUGGCUGCUUUCCCUCCAGUGGAACCUAGAGAACACUGCACCACCCCGGCACAGUCAAACACCUACCUGCCCUGGCUCCCUGGCUCCCCGGCUGUCUGCUCACCCCAGCCUCUCUGUCCAGACCCAUUUUGUCACCUUCCUCUUGCCUUCCAUGCUGGAAUCUGCACCAGGCCUGGAGCUGAUGUUAUCGUGUGGGCUUUGUUUGGGGGAGGGCAAAUUCUGUACCCACCCAGGCACGUUGAGGGCACUCGCUGGACACCUGCCACUGAGCCACAAGCCCUGGAGGAGACCUGGGGUUUCCACUUCUUGCUGCCACCUGGGUGAUCUGCUGGUGACGGAUGCAGGUGCCAGCCACCCUCGAGUGGCCCGGCGGUGAGGCUGGAAGCAGCCAAGCGGGACCCCUCGUUGCCGACAGGGGUGAGCAGGGCCCAGAUAUACACGAAGCCUGAGGAA